AGUGAACGCUGGCGGUAGGCCUAACACAUGCAAGUCGAACGGCAGCACAGUAAGAGCUUGCUCUUACGGGUGGCGAGUGGCAGACGGGUGAGGAAUACAUCGGAAUCUACUUUUUCGUGGGGGAUAACGUGGGAAACUUACGCUAAUACCGCAUACGACCUACGGGUGAAAGCAGGGGAUCUUCGGACCUUGCGCGAUUGAAUGAGCCGAUGUCGGAUUAGCUAGUUGGCGGGGUAAAGGCCCACCAAGGCGACGAUCCGUAGCUGGUCUGAGAGGAUGAUCAGCCACACUGGAACUGAGACACGGUCCAGACUCCUACGGGAGGCAGCAGUGGGGAAUAUUGGACAAUGGGCGCAAGCCUGAUCCAGCCAUACCGCGUGGGUGAAGAAGGCCUUCGGGUUGUAAAGCCCUUUUGUUGGGAAAGAAAAGCAGCAGGUUAAUACCCCGCUGUUCUGACGGUACCCAAAGAAUAAGCACCGGCUAACUUCGUG
rnacentral:rRNA from 1 species